UGUAUUGUUACUUAAUGGCUGCAUUAGGAACUGAAAACAUGUUCACCGUAGGUGCCACGUUGGGAACCAAUUGGGAUGUGCCAGUUGAUUUGGAUAAGUUAAUCUUUGACGAAAAAAUGAAAACGAAAGCAAAUCGAAGAGAAAAACGAUCACUCUAUCCCAAAAUCGAGUACAUGUUAAAUCAAUUAAAUAUCGAUGGUAAAUCUUGCCUUAAAAACCUACUGUGCCGAUCUAAAGAUCGAUUGAGAUCACCAUCGAAUGCACGUAUUCAAAACUCGUUUAUUGAAGAAAUUGUGCACUUGGUUUUUUCAUACCCAACAUUGCCGGAAGGAUGGUAUGAGCCAGUUGACGAGUACGAUUUUAUACUAGACGAAUGCGAAAAUACAAAAAAUUACUACAAUGACGCAUGCGUCAUAAGAUGAAAUCGCACAGCCUUAUCAUUUUGUGAAUUUUAAUCUUAAGCAAUUGUCCAAGAUUUUAAUAGGUAUAUUUUAUUUUUUCUCACCGAACAAGGUUAUCCUACAACAGUUCCAUUUUAAUUG